rnacentral:lncRNA from 1 species
CGGGUGCGCUCGGCUCGCGGCCUUGGUGCCACGCGGACGCUUCUGUCGGGGGCCCCCAGCCCGGGUGCGGGACCUGCUGUUUCCACGCACGGGGCUGGCUCCGGGAUCUCAGCUCAGAGAAGCCUCUGACCGCCUUGCAGGCCACGCCCCGUUAGGGAACCUGUCACGGUCACUGCCAUUCCCCAGGCCUCCUUGAGCGCCCACCGCGGGCCGGGCCUGUCCUGGGCUCCCAGCUCUGCCCUCACGGAGCUGACCGUUUUGUACAAAGCACAGCAACCAUUUACACAGCGCUCACUUCGUGCAGGCCCGUGGGUCCUCACAACCUCCAAAAAGGCGGCCCCGGGGUCGGGGAGACCUUCGGGAACAAGGGACCCUCUCGGACCUGAAGCUCGCUCGCAAGGCGCUGAGUGCAGAGUGAGGCCGGGUGCGGGCUGCGCCUUCUGAGAGGGAGGCAGUCCGCACAGUUCCGAGCAGAGGCGCGUAGGCCUCUGAAGGGUCCCUCGGGCUGCCGUGUGGAGUGUGGACUGCAGGAGGCUGGGGUGCUGAAUCACUUAGGAUGCAUUCAGAGGCGAACAACCCGCUUCCCAGCUAGCAGCAGCUUGCACGAUGCCAUUGUGAUCUCACUGAAUACGAAGCCACCAUCUCUCCUCCCUCCAAAAUCCCCACAUACACUUUCUGCCUUCCUGCCUGUUGCCUCAUGCCCCAGGGUGGCUGUCAUAGCACAGGGCAUCACACCGCUACACCAGCAUCUCAAACGGGAAGGAAGUGGCAGGUGUACAAAGGAUGACCACUUUGUGAAUCAGGUUACGAUUUUCUUUUCUAACAAAGGAAAAGCUUCUCAGAGGCUCCCCCUGCAAGUGUCUCUUUAACCCCGUUAGGCCAUGGGCCAUGUGGCCGGCCCUGACUUUAACAGGGUGGGAAAGUGAACAUGUGUCAAAGUGGACCAGGAUGGCCAGCCCCCACUAGGCGAGCACAUAGUUGCCCCAAACAAAAUCAGGGUUCGCUUAGCUGGGAAGCAGGUGCUAAGGCUGUCGGGGAGGCUGCCAACUGGCCUGUCACAGAGAAAAAUCAGAGCCCAGGGAGGGGUUUUGACAGCAGCACAGAGAGAGAUGAUGUGGUUUGAACAUGGGGGCCAUGAGCAGUGCCUCUUUCUCUUAGAGAGAGUGCGUCCAGUGUAAAUGUGAAGGAGAGAUAGAAACACAGGCUCUUCAUUUUUGGUCUGAGUGACUGAGUCGAGGGGGAUGCCCUUUGCCGAGAUGGGGAAGACAGAGGGAAGAGCUUGUUAGUCACAGGGUGGAAAUUAAGAAUUGCCUACUGGGGACAGAAGUGGAGAUGCUAUGCAGGGGUGGAGUUUCUCGAGGGAUGCCAAGACGAGAGGCCACUGCUGCAGCCCUGCGCCUGGAGGCUGGGCUCGCCACAUCUGCUCUGCCCUUCCCUCCGUGCUGCGUGACGCUGGAGCUGGCCUUUGAAAGCCACAUCAGCCUGUUCCUUGACCUGUGGUUUCUGGUUAUGCUAGCCCAACAGGAGCACCAAAGGCCCUUGAGGGAAGGAAAGAGCAAGGCCAAGUUCCAGUUCCUGCGUCCUCCCCUUGUUCCUGCCAGCGGGGGAUGGCAUCACGCAGGCAUGGUGAAUCCUGGCCCUUGGGACUUCCCUGCGCCUUGCACAGAUCGCACAGAUUGUGGUAGAUGGUCCCUUGCAAGUGUCAUCCUGCCUGAUGCAUCACCACCGAGGAAGCGACCGAAGUCAGAGACAGAGGAUGCUGCCACUCCCCAAGAAUGAAGCCGGUAGGGGAUAUUAUUGGACUUCGUAUGUGAUGGCAAUGACUCAACAGAAAGAAAAAUUGCUGAUGCAAGAAAAAGAGUGUCUUGCCUCGUCCAGGCAAGAGGGCAUCAGACUUGGGACAGCUCACUCGAGGCAGGGAAAGAAAAGCGGGUCGCACGAUUGCAGGCACAGGGCUUCAUUCCCAUCACCUAGGCUGCAGUACAGGGGCAUGAUCUCGGCUCACUGCAACCUCCACCUCCUGGACUCAAGCAACCCUCCCAUUCCAGCCUCCCAGGUAGCAAGGACUACAGGCACACACCACCAUGCCAGGCUAAUUUUUGUUUGUUUGUUUUUGUUGAGACGGUGUUUCACCAUGUUGCCCAGGCUGGCCUCGAACUCCUGAGUUCAAGUGAUCUGCCCACCUUGGCCUCUCAAAGUGCUGGGAUUACAGGCACGAGCCACCACACUCAGCCUUCAUCAUCUAAUAAAAUCUAACCAAAUCCU